CUGCUGCUGCUGCUGCUGCUGCUGCUGCGGGUCCAGCAGCAGCAAGAGCAGCAGCAGAGCACUCGUUGCUGUGGCUGCAGCAGCAGCAAGUGUGCUGCAGCACUAACAGCAGCAGCAGGU
rnacentral:snoRNA from 1 species